UCCGCCGCCGCGGCCCGGAGCGAAACCGCCCCGGCACUGGCUGAGGGACAGCCCCCGCCGCGAUGGGGAGGGGAAAAGAAAGAGGAGGAGGGGACACCACCCGCCCCGUCGCUCCCCCCGCCCGCCCCGACGCCCCCAGAGGCGGGCGGUCGCCGCCUGCUCGCCCGCCGCUCCUCGCCCUGCUGAGGCGGCGCUCCCCUCCCCGCGGCGCGGGCCUAUGCCGGUAGGCCGGGCCGGUACCUGCGCUGGAAGUCCUUCUCGAAGGGGGCCAGCUACACACAGUUAAAAUACUGAAUUGCUCUUACAGUUUGUGAAUUAUCUGGUGCUGCUUGACCUAUGCUCUCCCUUCAGUUGUCUCAUCCGUAACUCCUGUGUUGUGAUCUGUUUCAACACAUGCACAAGAAAAACUCACAAAGGUUUCCAUCCUGGGAGCUGAGUCAUCCUCUAAAUCAGGACCAUCAUCAUCUGAACACAAAAUAUUUCUCUGCAGAACUUAAGGACAAGUAUUACCUAUGUGAUUUUAAAUAGGAUGUUUGAGGUUCCCUUGCUUUAAAUAACUUGUGUGUCUAACUGAAAAGUACAUAGUUUAGCAGUACCCACCAAAAUUCUGUUCAUAUCAGAUUAUAUGUUUUACAUAAUGACAAAAACUUGAAUUAUCCUUUAAAUUCUGUGUUCUGUUUCCUUUUUUCUUUAAUCAGUUGUCAUUUCAAAAUAUACUCACAACCUCAAUGCUUAGUUUUUUGUACAUACAUCUAAUUUCUGUGAACUGUGAUUACUUCUCCUGUCACCCAGGAAACCUCGAGGGCCAAGGACAUAACCUCCUGUACCAUCAAAUUGUUAUCCCAGGCAUAACACUGAAAGACAUUCACGGUGCAUAUCCAUCUAUCUUAAGUCAUCCAAUAUACUUAGCGUUUAAAAGGACUGACUAAUGAGAACAUAUAUUAGACAUCCUGAAAGUGAGGAAAAAGCAAGAUUAAUUUUUUAUUAGUUAGCCUUUUCUUAGGAAAAGGAUACCACACAUAUUCAUUGUAUUUUUAACUGAGCAGACUUGCUUUUAAUCUUGUCUCUGUGCUUACGAAGAAUGUAUACUCUGGUAGGUUGAACCCACUCUAGCACUACUACAAGUCAUUAACACUAUGAUCUUUCCUUUUUAUAUCCAAAUUGCUGGGUUACUUGCAGUUCUGAAUAAUAUUUACAUGAAGACUUCUGAAGAACUCUGUGUUGGAGUUGUAUUACAUUGCUUGAAAUAAAACUUUUCAUCUGAUUUCUCCUUUCAUGUUUUAGGAAUUUCCAUGCAAGCUCUGUUUCUAUAAAUACUGCCUUUAUUAAAUUUGUAAUCUUCCAGCUUAAUACUGAUUUGUUAGGGCUUUUAUCCUUGCUUUACUUGCUUGCAUAUUUAUGUUCUCCUUAUCACUUGUCCAGUUCUUCUUUGAUUUAAUGUGAUUUUUUUCUCUUCUUUUUACAAUAAGUCGCGUUGCAUUGAUAUCCUUAAGGAAUUUAAGGUUACAAGGAAGAAAACUGAGCCCCAUGCCAAUGGAUGAGAUAGCCUUUCUGUUUUUUCUGUGAUCUCAUUGCAUGUUGGUCGAGGGACAGGACUGUGGAAUACAUAAUACAAGUGUCAUCAGAAUAUUUCCCUGGUUUUGUGAGGAGAUGCACAAGGAGUUACUCCUUUUCUGUAAAAUAAAGCAUGGGUAUUCAUAUGUGUAAAAAGGAAAAACCCAACAACACCGCCAAUAACAAUAAUAACUGUUUUCUUGUUUUUCUAAUUUCCUUUCUAUAGAACGAAGUAUAGAUAUUUGUAUUUUAAAACAAGCCAACAGUAAGAAAUACUAUCACCUGGAGUCUACUGUUUUUCUUAAAUCUAGAACUAUUGUUCAAGUUGAACGUAGAACAUCAGUCAUGUGUCUUGCCCUAGUUUUUCAUCUUCAGAAUAAACUGAAGUUUAGCAUUUCA